AGAGUUUGAUCCUGGCUCAGGAUGAACGCUGGCGGCGUGCUUAACACAUGCAAGUCGAACGAGCCUUCGGGCUAGUGGCGGACGGGUGUGUAACGCGUGGGAAUCUGCCCUCAGGAUGGGGAUAACGGCCGGAAACGGCCGCUAAUACCCCAUAUGCCGAGAGGUGAAACGAAUUUCGCCUGGGGAUGAGCCCGCGUCUGAUUAGCUAGUUGGUGAGGUAAUGGCUCACCAAGGCAUCGAUCAGUAGCUGGUCUGAGAGGAUGAUCAGCCACACUGGGACUGAGACACGGCCCAGACUCCUACGGGAGGCAGCAGUGGGGAAUUUUCCGCAAUGGGCGCAAGCCAGACGGAGCAACGCCGCGUGAGGGACGAAGGCCUCUGGGCUGUAAACCUCUUUUCUCAAGGAAGAAGACAUGACGGUACUUGAGGAAUAAGCCACGGCUAAUUCCGUGCCAGCAGCCGCGGUAAUACGGGAGUGGCAAGCGUUAUCCGGAAUUAUUGGGCGUAAAGCGUCCGCAGGCGGCCUUGAAAGUCUGUUGUUAAAGCGUGGAGCUCAACUCCAUUUCAGCAAUGGAAACUACAAGGCUAGAGUGUGGUAGGGGCAGAGGGAAUUCCCGGUGUAGCGGUGAAAUGCGUAGAUAUCGGGAAGAACACCAGUGGCGAAGGCGCUCUGCUGGGCCAUAACUGACGCUCAUGGACGAAAGCCAGGGGAGCGAAAGGGAUUAGAUACCCCUGUAGUCCUGGCCGUAAACGAUGAACACUAGGUGUCGGGAGAAUUAACCCUUCCGGUGUCGUAGCCAACGCGUUAAGUGUUCCGCCUGGGGAGUACGCACGCAAGUGUGAAACUCAAAGGAAUUGACGGGGGCCCGCACAAGCGGUGGAGUAUGUGGUUUAAUUCGAUGCAACGCGAAGAACCUUACCAGGGUUUGACAUCCUGCGAAUCCCUUGGAAACUUGGGAGUGCCUUCGGGAACGCAGUGACAGGUGGUGCAUGGCUGUCGUCAGCUCGUGUCGUGAGAUGUUGGGUUAAGUCCCGCAACGAGCGCAACCCACGUCUUUAGUUGCCAGCAUUCAGUUGGGCACUCUAGAGAGACCGCCGGUGAUAAACCGGAGGAAGGUGUGGAUGACGUCAAGUCAUCAUGCCCCUUACAUCCUGGGCUACACACGUACUACAAUGCUACGGACAAAGGGCAGCAAACUCGCGAGAGCUAGCAAAUCCCAUAAACCGUGGCUCAGUUCAGAUCGUAGGCUGCAACUCGCCUACGUGAAGGAGGAAUCGCUAGUAAUCGCAGGUCAGCAUACUGCGGUGAAUACGUUCCCGGGCCUUGUAC
rnacentral:rRNA from 1 species